GAGUUACCAAAGCAGUUGGGAAACAGAGGCAGAGGACUGCCCCCACUCUGUCCGCAGCAGGGGUAUGGGAGGCAGCUCGGGACACUCCAGGGACCAAGCGGGCAGUGGGCGCCGUCCCCGAGGAACACCCAGCCCAGCGCCCCUGGUUCUGGGCUGGUUGGCUUAUCGAGGCCGGUUGGCCAAAGCAUCAGGAAAGGGAACAUUCUCGGCCGGGUGUUGGAUACCAAAUUAUAAACGCCAGAGCACCUUGUGUAAAGAUGAAUAUCGUUUUGUUACUGCGGGAGGGAAUACACCUACUGCUUUGAAAGGAGUUUAAAAUAUUCAGCAGACAGCACCGCAUUGAAAUUAGUGCAUUGAGCUGCAGACCAAACUAAUUUCUAGAACAGUCUAAAAAGUAAAAACAAAGUUUGGCAAAAAUGACAACUUUGCUUGAGAACAGCUCUGGAAAAGCGAAUCCACUGAGAGCCGUGGGAAUUCUCCGCCAGCUGUGCUUCCCCAACCGAGGAAGAAUCCAACCCGGAAUAUCGUUUCUGGACCCCACCGCGGAGACCCCAGCUGGACCCUCUCCUGAAAACUGCCCGGGGAGGGGGGUGCGGUCUCAGCGCCCUCCACUGCGGGGUCCAAGGCGCAGUAGCGGGGCGCGACCCCAGCGCUCCAAGCCCAGCAUUCUUGGCAGCUCUCCAGGCCCCAGUCAGAGGCACAUUGACCUUGAAGUUGCACUUGACUCGCCCACUCGGGGCUGCCUGGUGGCGCCUGGGUCAGCUUGAAACCCACGCAGCUGAGGGAGCUAGGUGUGGGGUUCACCAUACUGCGCCCCCGCCGGAUUUGGGAGCGCGGGAUCUACUCGGAGGCAGAGAGAUUAGCCCCAGAGGUCAAGCCUUUCGGCGUCGUUUUGUCAUCUGUAUUUUCUCGUCCCCUUCGCCGCCGAGUCCUACAAAGCUCACUUCAGAGAGACUGGGUCCACAUGUGUGGGCUCAUGAGGAGGAGGACAGCGAGGGUGACGACGCUGGGGGACUAGCGCGAGCUGGCGCAUUCCUGGCAGUGAGCCAAGGGCCCCCCGUCUUGCUAGUCUUUCCAAGUUGCUUGGCAAUUCCAAAAAUUUCGACUGUGGGAAAGUUGAAACUUGUUCGUAUAGCGUUCUUUCGAAAAGAUUUUCCUUGUCUGUAUCUAUUUUACAGAAAACAUACUGGUCCUCACUACUGUUUGGGGACGAGUUAGCCUAAAUUUGAACAGACCUUGAAGACAAACCCUGAGCCCCGGGAGGCAGCCUUCUCAGCGCGAGGUGCACACACAAGUCCCCGAGCCCACCGCGAGGGUCUCACCUGGCUCCUGCGUGGUCUUUCCCCACUUUGGCGACUUUGAAGGCCAGGGGGACCGUACAGUGAGCGAAUAACUUAGCGCCUGCAUUAUCACUGCUGAAACCUCAGAGAACAAUGUAGGACAUGCGGGUGCAGGUAGAGCAAAACUAGUGAAAAGAGUUUAUGAGGAAUUCAUACCGCCUCGCCUACUUGGGACAACUCCUUCAUUCAGUUGUCCUCCCUAGGGGGCUGUUAUGCUUAUUUGUGUCAGACCCUUCUUUCCCCUGGAAUCUUAUCAUCACAGAAUAUUAAACAUUUGAAAAAAUUUUAAAGAUUAAACUUGUUCGAGGAAAAAAUGGUAAACACUGUUAGGGAUUGCCUGGCGUGCACAAAUUAAGGAAAGAAAGAAACUGAAAAUUUCAGCGCGGCUUUGGGAAUUUUUAGCUUUGCGAUUUAAAACCCACAGCGCCAUCUCCUGGUAAUGAGGAGAAUAUAGCGAUGGAUGACAAUACUGAAAUGCUGACUAUGAAAUACUCAAAUAUGAGAAACGCCUCAAAAAUUAUUUCAGUGAUAGGUUGAUUAUGAUUACAAAAUAUGAUCUGACAUGGACAUUUAUUAUCAUUAAAAGUUAUCAGACACAAUCCUGGAAGCUAAUUAUUUGUAAAUAGAAGUUUGUAUAUUUAUACAUACAUGUAUUUUAUAGAUUCAGACGCUUAUGCUGUGAAUUUACAAGAUAUGAUUCUAUAAUUUAUCAUAAAUACAUAAUUUUACAAAACAGUUCCCUGUUUUACUUUUUGUGAAUGAUUUUACCAUAUAUGGUAGAAAAAGAAUAAUAGGAUGUGGUGAUCUAUGGAGACAUAAAAUCUUCUAGAUCCUCAUUGUAUUUUACUAGUCAACAUUAAUAAAUACUUUAGCCCCAUUGUCUCAAUAACUUCUCACUUUAUCUAUGUCUUCUCAUCAUGCAAUCUUACAGAAUGUCUUACUGUCUUAAUGUUAAGACAUCAUGACAAAAAUGUGUUAACAUUAUUCAGACAUUCUGAUCCUGAAAUAUCAUCUGAAGUUAAAUUAUUUUCCAAAAGUUUAAUGCACAUAAUAGAAUCAUAAAUACUUAAUACUUUUCUAUUAAAAUGUUUCUGAAGUAUUCUUUCAAGCUUUUCUCCCUUUUAUAAAUAAGAUUGAAACACACUAAAAUUUAGAGAUGAUAUCCCUAUUAAAAACAUUUCUCCUCUAUGAUUGUAUACACAGGCCAGCUGCUUGAAAUAAAAAUAAAAGUAGAUAUGCUUUUUGUAGUGUACAAAAUAUUAUGAAUAUCCUUCAAAAUUGUAGAUCAAACAGACAAAUGUAAACUUCAGUUGAAAGAUUCAUUUUAUUUGAUUAAUUAAAGUGAAGAUCUAUUAAGCCAA
rnacentral:lncRNA from 1 species